rnacentral:rRNA from 1 species
UCGAGAAUCUUCGGCAAUGAGCGCAAGCUUGACCGAGCGACGCCGCGUGCGGGAUGAAGGCCUUCGGGUUGUAAACCGCUUUGGUCCGAGAGAAAGGGCAACUUGAUCGAUCGGAGAAACAAGGACGGGCUAAGUUCGUGCCAGCAGCCGCGGUAAGACGAACCGUCCAAACGUUAUUCGGAAUCACUGGGCUUAAAGGGCGCGUAGGCGGCCGAGCGGGUCACGGGUGAAAUCCUCCAGCUUAACUGGAGAACUGCCCUUGAUACCACUGCGGCUCGAGGAAGGAAGGGGCAAUCGGAACUGUCGGUGGAGCGGUGAAAUGCGUUGAUAUCGACAGGAACGCCGGUGGCGAAAGCGGAUUGCUGGUCCUUUUCUGACGCUGAUGCGCGAAAGCCAGGGGAGCAAACGGGAUUAGAUACCCCGGUAGUCC